UUGAUUUGACACACCUCCCUACACUUACCCC
rnacentral:piRNA from 1 species